rnacentral:lncRNA from 1 species
AAAGAAUACAUUCUGUCCUUAUCUUCACCUGAUCCAGACCCGGGACGCACAUACAUGAGGAAAAGUGUGCCAUAGAACAGAGACACGGAGAGCAGGCCCAGACCCAGGACAAACAUAAAUGAGAAAAAGAGUUCCGUAGAACAAAGAGACAGAGAGUAGAUGGGCACUGCAUGUGGAGAAGGCUUUGCUUCUGCCCUUAUCAGACUUCUUUCUCAGGAUGGCAAAGAGGACACGGAUAUAUGAAACCAAGACGGUUACAAAUGUGAAGACUUGUAUAGAAGUUGCAAGGAUUAAAAGCACAAACACGUUAAUUGUUGGAUCAAUGCAAGAAAUGUUGAAAAGUUGUAAAAUUUCACAAUAGUAAUAUUGUAUAAUGUUGGAUCUGCAGAAAGUCAGUCUAAGUAACAAACCCACGUGAAUUGCCAAGUGCAGAGCACCAAGUAAGUAUGCCACGGCUAUAAACUGA